GCUUAAUCAGUUAAGCGCCCAACUCUUGAUUUCAGCUCAGGUCAUGAUCUCCCAGUUUGUGGGAUCAAGUCCCACAUUGGGCU
rnacentral:tRNA from 1 species